CAGAGUUUGAUCCUGGCUCAGAUUGAACGCUGGCGGAAUGCUUUACACAUGCAAGUCGAGCGGCAGCGCGGGGGCAACCCUGGCGGCGAGCGGCGAACGGGUGAGUAACACAUCGGAACGUACCCUGUCGUGGGGGAUAGCCCGGCGAAAGCCGGAUUAAUACCGCAUACGACCUGAGGGUGAAAGCGGGGGAUCGCAAGACCUCGCGCGAUAGGAGCGGCCGAUGGCGGAUUAGCUAGUUGGUGAGGUAAAGGCUCACCAAGGCGACGAUCCGUAGCUGGUCUGAGAGGACAACCAGCCACACUGGAACUGAGACACGGUCCAGAUUCCUACGGGAGGCAGCAGUGGGGAAUUUUGGACAAUGGGGGCAACCCUGAUCCAGCCAUUCCGCGUGAGUGAAGAUGGCCUUCGGGUUGUAAAGCUCUUUCGGCAGGAACGAAACGGUGGAGGCUAAUACCUUUCAUCAAUGACGGUACCUGAAGAAGAAGCACCGGCUAACUACGUGCCAGCAGCCGCGGUAAUACGUAGGGUGCGAGCGUUAAUCGGAAUUACUGGGCGUAAAGCGUGCGCAGGCGGUUCUAUAAGACAGAUGUGAAAUCCCCGGGCUUAACCUGGGAACUGCGUUUGUGACUGUAGGACUGGAGUGUGGCAGAGGGGGGUGGAAUUCCACGUGUAGCAGUGAAAUGCGUAGAGAUGUGGAGGAACACCGAUGGCGAAGGCAGCCCCCUGGGUUAACACUGACGCUCAUGCACGAAAGCGUGGGGAGCAAACAG
rnacentral:rRNA from 1 species